CACGUAGGCACCAAGCGUUGUCCGGAUUUAUUGGGCGUAAAGAGCUCGUAGGCGGUUCAGUAAGUCGGGUGUGAAACUUUGGGCUUAACCCAAAGCGUGCAUCUGAUACUGCUGUGACUUGAGUUCGGGUAGGGGAGUGGGGAAUCCCUAGUGUAGCGGUGAAAUGCGCAGAUAUUAGGAGGAACACCGGUGGCGAAGGCGCCACUCUGGGCCGAAACUGACGCUGAGGAGCGAAAGCAUGGGUAGCAAACAGG
rnacentral:rRNA from 1 species